GACGAAGAUGAACGCGUACUCUA
rnacentral:siRNA from 1 species